CACUGACGACAUUCAGAUCCUUCUGUUCUCCGCCACUGCCCUGCCCACCUCCCUCCCCUUCCUCUCUCUGUUCUCUCCUUUCCUCCUCCUGAAUAACGGUCAGAAACCGACUUCCUCUGACCACGCGCAGAACGGGGCUGUGUGACUACCCGGGGCAAGUGUCCUGCCCUGCCCACACAGCAAAAUAAAUUCAAUAUGUCGACCGCGAUGUCCCGUUAUAACGGAUUUAACGGCUCUCUGGCAAAGCAAGCGGGAUGAGUUUUAAGUUAUAGCUUGCUCGGUUGUUUGGAACAUUUUGAUUCUUGACUUUCUUCAUUUUUGUUUAGAAAACAAUAAGAUCCCCGCACGCCACAUGGAAAGCAAAAAGGAAGUGCAACUAGCUGAGGAAAAAUGGAGUAAAAAGAACACGGAGAGGUUUAGAAAGUAAAUAAUCAUCUCCUUAUCCUUUAUCCCUGGCUCGGCACUGGAGAAGCCUCUUCAGAAGAUUGUGAAUGAUGGUGUGAUGGUGUUGGAGGAGGAGUGUGGAGGUGUGUGUGAGCCAAGCCAGGGGGAAGCACCAUGCAGGCAGGAGGAGAGAAAGCGGCCAUCUCCCCAGGGUGUCCUGCUAUCUCUAGGCCCGGUGAUGAUGAAGGUUGGACCGGAUACGCAGAGAGAUGUCUGAGGACUCUGUGCGAGUGCCCCCCUCUCCACCCCUCCCCUUGCCCCCCACCCCUCCUCCCUGGGACCUGGAGGCACCCCCCUCCUACGACUCUGUCAUGAAGAGCCGGGGUCCCUCUGACCUCUGAGGGCUGAGGAGACUACUAUACUCUACUGUUCUGUAACUUUGGACUAUUCCCUUUGUGCCAUUACAGUGAAGUAAAUCAAGCACACCCGUGCUGGGAGAGACGUUGUUCUGGAAUGGAGGGGCUGUAAGGGGUUGGGCGCCUCAGCGUUGUUUACAUGUUAACAUGACAGGUUUACAUAUUUGUUUGAAGAAUGAGGAGUGUGUUUAUAAUGCUACUAUUAAGACUACUACAGUGUGGUACACUGCACUCCUAUAAAGACAUAUAUAACAAAUAUAUUUUUUUUUCUUACUUUCCACCACCUGAAGUUGUUUAUGUCACUUUUCAAGUCCGCUCGAUGCCCAUAUAUUUGUAGUGGCACACUGAGCUACACCAGGCAGCGAGGCCAGCUGGCAGCAUCUACCCAGCACUAAGCAUUCUCUAUGCAGCAGCACUCAGCCUUUAUUACCAGUCCAAAUGGAUAACCCAGCCUUUAAAACCACUGUCUGACUUUUUUGCUGCUUUGGACUCCAUUAGCUGUUUGUGCUGUGACUGCUUGGGGAGGUUGUGUCAUUCUCCAGUGUGUGAGUGCGGGUGUGUUUCUGUGGUCAUGUAUGCACCACGGAUUCUUUCUAUUCACACAGCUGACAUCAGGAUAGACGGAAGAUCUCAACCAGAAGUGCCUUGUUGUUACAGCACUAGACGCUUGUUGUCACAGCACACGGUUAUCCACAGCAUUAUUCUCUCUCUCUCUGCCCCAUUGCUGCAGGGUUCCAUUCUAUCCACUGUUGCACUUCCUGUUUGACUGUGAUGUCAUGAUCAACUUUAG
rnacentral:lncRNA from 1 species